AUUGAACGCUGGCGGCAGGCCUAACACAUGCAAGUCGAGCGGAAGAACGGCGCUUGCUCCUGGCUUCAGUGGCGGACGGGUGAGUAACGCCUAGGUAUCUUCCUGGUAGUUUGGGAUUAAGUCCGGUAAAGGGCGCUUAUACCGCAUACGUCCUUCGGGCGACAGUGGGGGGUCUUCGGACUUUACGCUAUUAGGUGAGCCUGGGCCGUAUUAGAUAGUUGGUGGGGUAUAGGCCUGUCCCGGGGCUGUUCCGGUACUGCUCUGGGAGGGUGAUCCGCGACACUGGGACUGAGACACGGUCCAGAGUCCUAGGGGAGGCAGCAGGGGGGAAGAUUGGACAAUGGGCGAAAGCCUGAUCCAGCCAUGCCGGGUGGAUGAAGAAGGUCUUCGGAUGGGAAAACACUUUAAGGUGGGAGGAACGGCAGUAAGUUAAUACCUGGCUGUUUUGACGGUACCAACAGAAGAAGCACCGGCUAACUUCGUG
rnacentral:rRNA from 1 species